CACUCUAGAGAGACUGCCAGGGAUAACCUGGAGGAAGGUGGGGAUGACGUCAAAUCAUCAUGCCCCUUAUGCUUAGGGCUACACACGUGCUACAAUGGGUAGUACAGAGGGUUGCCAAGCCGUAAGGCGGAGCUAAUCCCUUAAAGCUACUCUCAGUUCGGAUUGUAGGCUGAAACUCGCCUACAUGAAGCUGGAGUUACUAGUAAUCGCAGAUCAGAAUGCUGCGGUGAAUGCGUUCCCGGGUCUUGUACACACCGCCCGUCACACCACGGGAGUUGGAGACGCCCGAAGCCGAUUAUCUAACCGUUUGGAAGAAGUCGUCGAAGGUGGAAUCAAUAACUGGGGUGAAGUCGUAACAAGGUAGCCGUAUCGGAAGGUGCGGCUGGAUCACCUCCUUUCUAAGGAGA
rnacentral:rRNA from 1 species